CCCGCGGCCUCUGCGUGUCCCGCGCUGUGUGCGGGUGCUGGCUCCAGGGCCGGUCCCGGCUGGAUGUGCAGCAGGCUCUCUUCCAAAAAUGGUGGCGCACCAGCUGCCAUCCCGCAGUGCCGUGGGCACACCUCCGCUGAGAGAUGGGUUCUCCUCCCUUCCCUUGAACCGGGUGGAUCUUCACGACUUCUUCAACCCAAACGAUGUGCUGGAAAUGGUGCUUCUGCGGUGAGGUCGUAGAAGGCAGUAUGGCUUCCUCCUGACCCUCUCCUCAGGACGCUUGUCCAGGGAACCCAGACGCGGUCUUGGCAGGAAGCCCAGGGCACACAGAGGGCCUCCCUGUGGCUAUUUUGGCCCUUAGCCCCAGCGAGGCCCAGUUGGUGGGUCUCACCCAGAGUGGGUGGUCGGUCAGGAGGUUCCAGCUGAGGACCCGGACAUCGUGGGGGAAAGACCAGCUGACUCAUACAGACUGUGAGAAAGAGUAACUGACGACUGCUGCCUUAAGCUGCUAAGUUUAGGAAUGACCGGUUAUGCGGCUAUAGCUGACUGAUGCAGGUGGCCAGCGUGGAUGCCAAGAGCCCUACCAGCUGUCCUCGGCUCUCACUCUACGCCCACUCUCUUCUGAUCCGUCUCCCACACUCAGGCUGGAGGGCAGACAGCAGCGCAGGUGCCCACACGGGUGCUGGCCUGGUCAUAAGCCUGCUUAAAGACCCACCACCAGACCUCAUUGUCCACCCUGCAGACGGGAUCCUGUUCAGCGCCAGCUCACCCAGAGCCCACGGCCAGGCUCUCUCCCUCUGGAACCCGCCUUCUCCCACUUCAUUCCCAAUGGACUCGUGGUUGUGUGGUCAGUGCUACUGUCAUGGCUCCCAGCCCUGUGGUGACAUGAAAUGCUGGGAGGCCUGGCCACUCCUCGGAAGGCUUUGUAUACAAAAGACAACAAAGCCACAGCAAAAACUUGAAGGUAAAGACGCCUCUGUGUUUCACCACUGGGCCCUGGAAGCCCGGCUGCUCAAGGGAGCCACUUGGAAAGCAGCCCGGCAUCUAGCGGGGCCAGGAACACAGGGCCCUGGGCUGGCCUCACUGGGCACAGUCGAGUCAGGAGCUGCCCAGGGCAUGGGGGACAGAGAGGACAACAGGCCCUGCACCUGGGCCACCCAAGCAGCACAGGUGGGCUUCUCCUUAGUGUUCAGCUCAGUGCCUGGCGGGGAGGGUACUCACUCCCGGCCCCACCCCAGCCCAAUGAUCUCGGCUGUGUUCCAGUCGCUGGACUACCUGCCCACACCUUCCUGCAGGACAAAGUGGACAGGAUGACAAACAGGUGAGCUGGAGGGACCGUGGGCUCUCCAGGGAGGAGGGCUCCGGGGCGCAGCUCCUGGGCAAGCCAGGUACAGGUCUUACUGUGGAGCCCGUGCUCAGGCAGAGCUCUGCCCUGGGUUUAUAAGCAGCACCCACCGUUUCCCUGAGAGGUGGGGCCGUCUCCACAGAGCAAGACUGACGGGGUGAGGGAUGGGGGUUGAGUGGCAGCCAGCAGGGCCUCACCCCCUCACCUGGGCCCAUCUGUUAGCCUGCAGCUGCUCUGCUGUGCACACCAGCACCAAGAGCCAGCUGGGACCCCACGGUGCCCAGCGCCCACCUGGAGAGAUGCACGUGUCCUGGCUUCACUUCAGAGGGUCUGAGGAUGUUCUGAGGCUGGGGCCCCACCCUGGGACAGCAACAGCCCCCUUCACCACGAAGCCCUCCUGAGCAGGAGGAGGAAGGUCUCUGAUCCACGCUCCAGACUUUUGCUCAAUGGCCCGGAGAGCUGGAGGUCCACAGCACUGUGCUGUAAUGGCCCACGAAUUCAGUGGCAGAUGUUGGGGGGGGCAGAGGUGGCUUCCUGUAACCGGGGUCCCUCGGUCACCCAGUGCCCUGUGAGGUGUGAUCCCGGGGAUGCAGCUGGCCCACCAGAGUCUGAAGCCAGCAGAGGAAGCUUGCUGUGGAAAUUCUGUCUCCCACAGCAAAUGGCACGCUGUGUUACAACCCCGAGCACAGUUCUGCUGGGCACCAGGAACCGCUGAUGCCUAGGAGACCACACAUUCUGGGGCCUCCCACAGUUCUGAUCCCGGUCUGGGCAUAUGCAAACACCCUAGGGAUUCGGACGUAAGCAUCAGUCCCGGAGACUCAGCCAGGCUGGCACUGAGAGGCACCAGAGGGGAGGUCCUGACUGCUGCUGAUGGGCGGAGCAGGCAGGUCCCCACAGCGUGCAGCCCUGUUGCACCAGAGGCUCAGUUCUCGAAAUCUUACAGACGUGCUCACACCGAAGCCCAAGGGUCACGCACAGAAUGGUCACUGCGGUGUUAUCCACAGUAGUUCUGGUAACAAGAAACUGGACGCAGCUGAAACAUCCAACACCAUGGGAAUAAACAGAUGACGUUCCCGCAUCAUCACGGAUUUCAGGGCCAUCGAGUGGAACGCUCACAAGAAUAAUACCGAGCAAUGAAAAGAAACCUCUGUGAUCUGCUAUGCCUGAUGGAGCCUGGAAACGUUAAAUUCAGACACGGAAGGAAGGUAGCCGAGACAGUGCCAGGGCUGAGGGGCGCCGAGGGUUAGCGCUUGACAGGGUUAGAGUCUGUCUGGGAGGACAAAGCAGCGCGGAGACGGCCAGCGGGGAUGGCUGUGAAGUAUUACUACGCUCAGUGCCGCUGAGCUGAUUUAAAAAUGGUCAAGAUGGUGAGCUUUAUGUUUCACAGACUUUACCACAACUGAGGGCUGGUGGUCAAACAGAAGAGGGUGCCCCUGUGGUACCGGAGCAGAAGGUAACGGGUCAGCACACUGUGGACAAGUGUGGACGCACAAUUCCAUUUUUGUAAGAAAACAGCUAUAGCCGUGUGUGUCUGCACGUGUGCGCAGAAUUAUCUAGAAAGCUACAUACCUGUUAACAGUGGUUACCCUGGGAGGGUGCCAGGGGACUUACUUUACGGGCUUCUGUUCUGUUUGACCGUGGUCACGCACAAUGACAAAAGAGAAGUUUAAAGAGUGACGUGGCGUUUGCUUCCAGAGAAGAGAGGCACAAUGGGGUUCACAUGCCGCGUAGUCAGUAGCGCCCGCCCUCUGAGCGGUCACGUUCACUGGCUGUGGAACUGCACAGCGACCAAGCAGGGCACGCACUUCCAUCUGAACGUGGCUCGCUAUACAAAGUGAGUGUUUGGCAUAGAAAUCUCUCUCAGUUCCUGAAAUCAAGCAAAAACUUAAACACGCCACCAACGGCUCACUAGCAGAAUUUUUUUUUUUUCAAGAUUUUAUUUAUUUAUUCAACAGAGACAGCCAGCGAGAGAGGGAACACAAGCAGGGGGAGUGGGAGAGGAAGAAGCAGGCUCAUAGCGGAGGAGCCUGAUGUGGGGCUCGAUCCCAGAACACGGGAUCACGCCCUGAGCCGAAGGCAGACGCCUAACGACUGAGCCACCCAGGCGCCCCACGAGCAUAAUUUUUUUAAAGGUUUUUAUUGAUUCGAGAGUGAGCAAGCGAGUGCAUGUGUACAAGUGGGAGAGGGGCAGACGGAGAGAAUCUGAAGCAGACUCUGUGCCAAGCACAGAGCCCAACGCGGGGCUCGAUCCCAUGACCCUGGGAUCACGACCUGAGCCGAGAGUCAGUCACUUAACUGACUGAGCCACUCAGGCUCCCCUCAUAAUUUUUGAUUAAGAAGAAUGUGCUCAGUCAGAAUGUGAACAAGCUCGAUACGGAUUCUCACGGCUGCUGGGUGAAGACCGCCCGCCACCCAGGAGAGCGACAGCCCCGAGCACCAGGGAUAAACUGCGCGUCACCUACACGGCCCUUUACAAGAGCAGCACUUAUCUCCCUCUAAGACGGUCAGACUCUAAUUUGUCUGUAAGUAGAGGGUUCAAGGCAGAAGUAGAGACGCUCACUGGUCUUUGAAGCUGGCCUUUCUCUUUUCCACAAACGCGGUCAUCCCUUCUUUCCGAUCUUCCUGGUGGGAAAGGGAACAAGGGAGAGAUGGACGGGGCUCUGCAGACUGCGGGGCUCUGCCUGUCUCUGGGUUUGCUCACAGUCUGGCGGGUUCCUCUGAAACUUGCAUCAGGACUACCCGGAAACCUGGGAAUAGCCUGGAGUCCCUGACCACCUAGGGCUGGCCUGGAAGUGGAUUUUUAUAUGCCCCUCCCAGCCCCCAGGUGUGAUCAUUCAGGAACCACUCAUUUGUGUCAAAGUCUCACCCACAGAGAACCUCAGCUGUGCCCGUUUGGGUCAUGCCCUAAUUCAUCACCUGGGUGUGUGCCAUGUAUGCGCACACCUUCACUUCCUCAAGAGCGAAGUCACGUCUAAUCUCUCAUGAAACACCUACACCAGACUUUCUGAUACUAAGAGAUGGGUUUUAAUGACUUACAAGAAGGCCUCUCUUUCAGCGACUGUCAAACCCUAGAAAACACUGAUCUGAAGCGUCAGAUAGCAGUAUGAGAAUACAUCCAGACUCCGUUCCAAGUAACUGGAAUGAUGUAGAAAAUUAUGGGCAGACGGAGUGCAUUUCAAUACAGGAGCAACUCAUCAGACUUUUUGUAACAGGAAGUCACCCUUCAUUCUUGUGAACUUUUACACACUGUGCUCACUUGCAAAGAUCAUGCUUGUGGACAGGACACAUGUAAUCAGCUACAGGGAAAGCACACAAUCUGACCAAACAGAAACGGUGUUUAAUGAAAAAGCCUACAAGGAGAUUCCCAGUGAUUUCUAUGGCUGGACCAUGUGUGUCUCCACUGAAUGUUUACUCACGGUAGCAAAAGUUGAAUAGAAGAGCUUCUUCUCCAGCUUGUUUCCCUCUGUUAGCGUCAUUUCAAAAGCUGAAAGAGAGAACCCCGAAGUUACGAACUCAGGUGUUAGAGGUGGGAACAUGCAACCUUUUUUAUGGGGCUAGGAAACAUUCCCCACUGACCCACAUCCACCUUAAUUUCAUGGUGAUUUAGACCGUAGCCUGGGAAGCACCCCCUCCCCAAAUGCCCUGCCCUGCCAAGACUCCAGCAGAGCAACCCACUCGGUGCUUCACCCCCCGUGGCCCCAAGAAGAGGCACGAGAAACUGAACAAAGGGUGCAAUGGGUAACUCUGUCCAAUCACAGGAGAAUAUGAGAGCCUGCAGAAUUACAUCUGUUUUAUUAUUUUUUAGAAGAUUUUAUUUUGAGAGCGAGAACACGCGUGUGCAUGAGCAUGGGGAGAGCAGAGACACCGGGGGAGAGAGUCACAAGCUAAGUGCAGAGCUGGACAGGGGGCUCAAUAUCGUCGCAACCCUGAGAUCAUCACCUGAGCCAAAACCAAGAGUCAGAUGCUCAACGGACUGAGCUCCCCAGAAUUAAGUAUGCUUUAAAAAGCUUAAAAAUUAAGGAUGAAAAAGGAAUAUGCCAGGACAGAGUCCCAGGUGGUAAGAAUACCACUGCUCUGGGCCGUCCUUCCAGCGAAGGUGAAGUGUCUUCCUUGGUGAGCACCUGGCGUAACGGCAGGUGCCUCUGACUGUGGCCUCACCGGCCCUCUGCAAGAACAGCAGUGUCCACCUCUUAAGCGAGUGCUACCUACUCAUCCUUGUGGAUGCGUCACAAACAUCAGCUCAGCCGACCAAGGCCGCAGCAGCCCGGGGGAUGUGACUGCCUCCCUGCAGAAGGGCACGAGACCUGGAGCGGCUCAGCAACUACCCCGGGCUCAUGGCCUCCUCAACAGGCAGCCCGGCCCUGGGCAGUAUUACCCCAGUGCUGAGCACAACCUGCUACAUUAAGACCCCAGAAAUUCUCAGGAGGGCUCAGAGCUGCUCUGCCGGGAGAGAGAGGACGGAGAGUGCAGAGCAAUAAGGGGCAGCAUGAACUCUGUCCCUGGUUCACAUUGGUGUCCCGUGAGCCCACACGGCCACCAGGCUGCAGGCACAACUGCUGGCUGAGGAGAGGGGCAUCUUCCACCAGGAUCCAGGAGGUGAGCCGGGUUUACCAGGAGCCAGACUGGCUUUUCUUAAGGGACUGACUUGCCCUGCCCAGCCAUUUCCCUGCACCCUAGCGCCUGUCACUCUCUGUCCCUCAGGCUGGCCCCUUUCUUGGGUCCUGAUACCAAAGACAACUCAGAACAUUUCAGGAGAAUCUGUGAGCCAGCAACCAAAGAUCGGAACUCUAAAAGAGCCAGAAUCCCAACGUUAAGAACCCUCCCAACUUCUGUCCAGGGUGGGUUAAGAUGCAUCAUUUAGAACCAUAGCUCCUGACUGCUCCUGUGUCACCCGGCCCUCAGAAUCUCUCCUCCUGGCAGAACCCGUACCUGCAUUCACGGACUCUUUGGCCAUUGCUGCUACGAUUUUAGAAUUGCUGGCAAUUUUCUCUGCACACUGGAUGGCUUCUUCGACCAGUCUCUCCACAGGAAAAAUUUUGCUUACGAGACCUAAACACAAACAGGUAAAUGACAAGUGCAAACAGCACUGGCUAUGCCUCUCUGAGUCACGAUGCUGCCCCUAGAGCUGGGGUUUUCUGGGGGCCAACAAGGGGCUGCAGGGACGCAGGCUCAACACCGACCCUUAGGUGGGGCCACGAGGCUCUUUCAGACACACCAACAGGGAAGAAGAGCAGAUCACCUGGGGGGGGGGAAAGGGUGUGCCCACGAGGGUCUCAGAGAUAUCCCACUGCUGACUUGGGGCUUGGGAAACAGGAUGGUUUUGACUCUUGAACCUGAUGUAUAUUUUACUCUCUUGUAUGUGUGGCAUUCCAAAUAAAAACAAAGGCAUUUGUC